rnacentral:snRNA from 1 species
AUUUGAUUAUAAGUUGAGUUGA